AUAAUUCUAGUGCUGUAGAAUGUGAAUUUGUAAUUAUAAAAUAGAGAAGGGUAAAAAGUGAACCUGACGAGCGUGUUCAGCAAGCCAAUCUUUGUCAAUAAAUAAUGCGGAAGAAUGAGGGAGCGACUUCCCUUUGGAUGCCUUUUUCCGAUCAUCUUUAGCCCCUCCAAUUAUGGAACAUGCCGGCUCACCGUUGUCAUUCAGUGGUGUUGGGAUUAAAUCGAAUAUGAAUCCUCGAUCUAAUUUCCCACUUAAAUUCCCAAUUACAAGCCCUACCUGUUGAAACAAAUUAUCCUUAUAUAUAUAUAUACAG
rnacentral:lncRNA from 1 species